UACAGAGGUCUCAAGCGUUGUCCGGAUUCACUGGGUGUAAAGGGUGCGCAGGCGGGAGAGUAAGUCAGAGGUGAAAUCUCACAGCUUAACUGUGAAACUGCCUUUGAUACUGCUUUUCUUGAGUUCGGGAGAGGUUGAUGGAAUUCCAGGUGUAGCGGUGAAAUGCGUAGAUAUCUGGAAGAACACCAGUGGCGAAGGCGGUCAACUGGCCCGUAACUGACGCUCAGGCACGAAAGCGUGGGUAGCGAACAGG
rnacentral:rRNA from 1 species